GGGUGCCUGAUUCUGUCCGGAUCAGGCUAUAUACUCCCUGUUCCGGCCAGAAAAAAGCCCCGGUUACGUUUUUCAACAUAAACCGAGGCCGAAUCUCUACCUGAACAAUAGGGAUUUUGCCUCCUUCACUUUUAGGAGUCAAGAGAA
rnacentral:antisense_RNA from 1 species